AUCCCCACGGCCUCUCAAGGAGUUGGAGCUGCCAGGAGCUGAGCUCCUCCGCUUUUUCCACCACCAAGGCUUGGAGGUUGGCACAUAUCCCAAAGAAACACUCAAAAUGAGGUUUCUGAAGAAGGAAAAGAAGUAAGCACAAGGGAACAAGGCAGGAUGCUUAUGUAAAUCAAAACUGGGAGGAAAGGCGAGUGCAGAGGCUAUUUUGGUGUGGACCGCAGUGCUGGCUCUCAGUUUCUCACUUUUCUCUUGCCAUUCCCAAACCUGUGCUAUUAAUGCAAUGCAAAAGUUUCUGCUCCUCUUCCCCUCCUCUCUCACUCCACACUCUGCCUGAUCUGAGUACUGCCUGCAGAUGGCUGCUAAUGAGUGAGCUACUUUAACAUACCUACUUAAAAAUACUUAAAUCAUUAGGCAGACUUUGUACACUGUAAUUUAAACUAAUAUUUUAAAGAGGCAGCCUCCCAAUUACAGCAUUACUCUUAUCUUUUGUAGGACUCGCACAUUAACCCACUUGAAAAUUUGUCCCUGCCAAAGAGUAUCAGCAGCCAGUCCUAAACCUGUCAAUGUCAUAGUGUUUUUUAAAUUGAUGUUUAAUUAAUGAAGUACUGUAGCAACAGGUUUUCUCUCUCCUUUUUUUUAAUUUGAUCUCCAUGGCAUUAUAGGAACCUAAAGUUUCCACUAGGCAUAUAUUCCUACUGUUUCCUUGUCAGAGGAAAUGUAUAUUCAUUUUAGACUUGUGGAGGCAAUUACAGUAGCCACCAGUUGCCUACAGCAGCUAAUCAAAGUGAUAACCUGCAAGUUCUCAACUCCCCAUGAGACAGCCCACUUGCCUCCAGCUGAUGAAUGCCAAAAGAGCAGCAUGGGCCCACCAGUAAUGACACCACUAUCUAACAGAAGUUUUUAACUAACCCAUGCUUUUAUAAAGACUCUAUUAACAUCUCAUAAAAAGAGAUCUAGAUAAAAGAUUCUAAUAAGAUUUUUUUAAAGGGAAAGACCAGUGCUGAUGUAAAUGUCUGAUGUAAAAUAUUAAGCUGGUAUUUGCCUAUGUGUAACCUUUGAGAUUCUCACAUUGUGAGAAGUGAGAGUAUCUCCAAGCACGUGACUAACCUCUGACUGAUACUCUGUCAUGUCCUUGCUCCAGUCCAGCCACACAGUCAAGCACGUGCUUCAUCUUAAGCAGAUAUCCAACUCUAUUGGUUUCAAAAGAACUCGGAGGCUUAAAGCUAAAGGUAUGGAAGUACUGCAGGAAAGCAGGGAUAAUCUGUUAGAAUGUAAUACCUCAGACUGUUAGUAUACUAUCAGUAGGUGUUGCCUACAACAGAAAUAAGCAAUAAAAAUUUUAACAAAGAAAUAAUAUUUAUAAACAGCUCACAAUUAUUUGCUAGCAGGAGAAGUUAAUCGCACAGGUAGGAAACCUUUAGUUUUUCUACAUGAGCAGCCCCUUGCUUUUGCUGGAUUUUAAUUAUUUAGAAUGUAGGCGUACUUGGCAACAAAAUGACCCGCUCUACAAUCUUCCACCUUAUCAGUGACAAAAGCAGCAUGAAAGAUAUACAGACUAUAUUUUUGUUUCAUUCCAUCAGCAUAUUUCAGAGUUCAGUAUACAAAAAUAAAAAGUAAGGUGAAUGAGAAGAUUUGAAGGCUGUUUCUGAGACCUUUGCUUGAUUCAAUGUCAUUCAGUCUGCAACCAAACGGAAA
ensembl:lncRNA